CGGAAGGAGAAAGAGAGCAGGGAGCGGCGCACAAGAUGGCGGCGGCGGGGAGCGCCCUGCGGCAGCGGGCGGCGCGGGGCUGGCGGGGCUCCAGGCAGGGGGGGGUGGGGGGAGGACAAAGGCAGCGCGCAUCCUGCGGGCUGGGCACCUAUAAAUAACGCAGCCCGCCCCUCAGCCUUCCUCCCUUCCCCCAGCCGGUUUUAUAAAUACCAAAGGCUGAAAACAGUCUAAAUGCAAAGGGGGGAGGAAAAAAAGAGGAACAAACACCACCACCCCAACUGUAAAAUGGGGGGCGUGGGGGGGAAGAAGGCAAGCUAAUGAGCAGUUGGAGCCAACGUGCCGGGGGAGCGCUCCCCGCUGCCGUCACAUGGCUCUGCGUUGUUUUCCUCCUUCUCCCCCCACCGCCGGUGCGGCAGAGCGGCGGCUGCCUCCGCCCGCCCGUGGCCUCGGAUGGCGGGGAGGAGCCCCGCGGCCUCCCCGGCCCUCAGCCCCGGGUCCUGCUGAGCUGCUCCCUCAAAUCAGAUAGCAAAGCCCGGCUUCGGCGGGCGGAAGGCACACAAAGCCCACCUAGAGGGGUGCCUGGGCCAGGCCAUGCAGCCCAGCGGUGGGAGGGAUGAGCUGUUGUCCACACAACACAGAACACAUUUCCAAAGGAAAAAAAAAAAAAAAAAGCAAAAAAAAAAAAAAAAAAAAAGGAAAAACUGCAAGGCUGGGCUCCAUCCCUGCACCCUGCCCUGCCAGCAGCCAUGAUGGGAGUGCUGCUGGAGCCCCUUCUGCCCUCACAUGGAAGAGACGCGGCGUUGGUUAAAGCAAACAGCGAUACAGUGCUCCGAACAGCGAUACAGUGCUCCUCUGCUGUUUCUGGGAACGUGGGACGCCUCCUGGAGCGGGACGCCAUGGCCGGAGAGGUGCUGAGCCGUCCUCAGGGUUUUGCAGGGUUCUUUAGAGCUGUGCUGCAGUGUUUCAGCCACUUGCAUCAUCAUGAGUUGUCAGCAUGCAAAGCCAUUAAAGAAUUGGCUGAUUGAAACAGCACCAGCCAUGAGCUUCCCUGGAUUUUAAGCUGGUGUUUAAAUAGAUCUAUGGAUCUUAACGUCUGCAUUUUAAACCUCAAUUUUGGUCUGUUUAACCCUGAAGCAAACUAGCUCUGCCUAACGCAGCACAGGCUUCGAAACAAUUCAGCCAGACCAUAAUACCGUGGGAGCUCAGACAGCUUUGUCUGCACUCGCACCUCUCUGCACGUCUCCGCAGGACCGUGACUGCUGCUGUGUGCAAUCCAUCACCGCAUGGACGGUGCUGGAACCCCCGGCUGCUCCCCAGCACGCACCAGGGCCCACACCGGCCAAACCCCACGGGGUAAAGCAGAGCCAGGGCUCUGCGUGGGUCCUCAGCACUUCUGGAAAUGGCUGUUGUAAGUCUGAACUGAAAAUUUCUGUACGUUUGUAGGGUUUCUAAAUGACUGUAAUGUUCAGUGUUGUUGAAAAGCAACCGAGGCGGUUGAGACCGGUUGUGCUCCCUGGAGUGGGUGGUUUAAUGGUUGAACCUCCUAUUUGAAAAGAGAAGCGUUCUGGUACAGCGUGCUUAAAGCCCACAGAGGUCAGAGCAGACUUCUAGCCUCGGGUUAGGCUGACCCUGGUUUGCUGCCCGAGCCUCUUCAGGAAAAGAAAGAGCUCUUUCAGGGGAAAGGAAACAAAGAUUUUUUCCUCCAAAUGGCCCGUGGUCACUCCAUGCACGUUCUUAAUGCAGUGGGGUUUGUUCUUACCCGCAGCGUCCCUCCCCUGUGUCGUUGAGUCAAAAACUCAUGGUAAUUAUUUUAGUGCCUGUUAUCAAUAAGAUGUUGUUUAAUUUCUUUGGCAAAGUGCUGUGACUAAAGCAAAUUAGAUUGAGAGGCAAAGUGAAAUAACAAAUAUGCAGCCGCUCUGCCAAACAAUGACUGGGACUGUUUACAACAUUUUGUUUCAGACUGGUUUGUACACAGAAUCCUUUCUGUUGAAGGUCUGCAUGUCACAAUCUGCUGCUUGUGCAAGCAGACUAGAUUAGCAGAUUAUAAAGGACAAAAGGGACCUAGGUUUGUCUGGUUUGACUUCCUGCAUGAUGCAGGUCGUAAGAUAUUUGGGAAUGUGUUGCUUUUUUCUCAUUUGAGAGAAUUUAACAAUAGCAUACCUGUAUCUUAGAGAAAAUAUCAUCGUUGUAAUUUUAAAAAUGGCCUCUGAGAGUAAAGUAAGAAUUGGCAGACUGUUUCCAUGAAAAUCUACCUGGUAGAUGGAAUUAAGAUACCUUUUAAACUGAGCUUUGCCUGGCUUCUGCUUUCCGUUACUGACGCUGCUGUACCUCGGUCUGCUCGAGCGAAUGCUCCGUCCCAGAUCCUUGUCCCAUGGAGCUGUGUACAGGCUGAUAUCCACAGAUUUAAUGCUCCCAUUGCAGAUUUGCAGAGCUCCCCCUCAGGUCCAGACUCACCACCCCUAUAAACAUUGCUUCCCUGUCUCCAGUUUUUCACCAUUUGGAUCAGGGCAUCCAGAGCAGGGCGGAGCGUUCAGCAGAGAUCCCACCCGUGCCAGCAGUGUGCUGAGGUUUCUGUUACGCACCCAGGGAUUACUCCCGGUGCUCAGCUGGUUUUCCUGCUCUGCUCCUAAAAUGCCAUCCAACUUGCUCCUCCCGUGGGACUGCAUCUGUCUCUGAAUAGCCUGACACUUGGCUCUUAAGGGCAGUCCUUAGGCAGUGUCGCUGCUUGCAGCAGCCUUUAUUUACACAUCCUGCUGUUGUUCUUCUGGGUCACCCACAGACCUGACUGUUAAAUACUUUAUGUUUUCUUCCUGCUCAUUGACAAACACCAUUUCUGCCUUUACUGUAGGAGUGUCCUGGUUCCAGGUGCGUGCGUGCCUCAGUUUUGUCAACACUGAGUCAGGAGAUCUGAUCUACGCCAUCUCCCACCACACCCAUCCCUAGGAAUAAGGCCCAGUGCAGGAGCUGGCAGGGAGCCAUGGGGCACACUGAAACAUGUGCCUUCUCUGUAUCAGACAGAGCCAUUAAAUAGUGUGGGACCCAAACCAGGUAGUUACAGCACCCAUAAAAGAGAGAUAACAGUUCUACAAUGCAGCAAUGACGACUGCACUUUGAGAUAUUCCUACUGGAUGGAUUUUAUUCCAUGUGAUUAUGUUGUCUUGAUUUUAUAUUCUCAUAAUCGUGUAGAUGCUUCACAAGGGUUGAAGUACAGCUCUCUUCUAGAUGUUACCUACUAGUGAUACUUGCAUUUAUCACUUAACUUCAGUUUCUCUCUCAGCAGCUGAACUCACAAAGCUGCCUCUCCUGUGGAUUUGCAGACAAAUCCCUGCAGACUCCUUCCAGUUCUUUCCCUGUUUGGCUGGGCAAGGGGACAUCACUGCCCCUGGGGGGAGCUGAGACUACCCGCCUUUCCACCAGGGCACGGUGCUGCCUCUGCUGCAUACUCUUCUCAGCUAUUCCUUCCAGACCUAAAAUGUUUGGGAUUUCUUCCCCACCGUCAAAUUUGACUGAGGUUGGAGGAAGGAGGGAAAAAAUGACAGAGAACUUUUAGGAAACCAGGCUAAAAAUAUCAAAGGACUGUUGAGCUGGAAUACGCGUUGGGCAUUUGCCUGUUCAGGGUUUUUUGGCUUGUUUUUUUUUUUUCUUCUUUCCUUUCCUAUUUUUAACCUUUUCCUAAGUAUGGCACAUCAUACAGGUAAGGAAUUUCUCUGUCAAAAUAUGCACCUCCUGACGGAUUUUACCUGUGUUUCAGCAUGCUCUGCAGAUGCAUGGGCUGUAUGCACAUGGGCUGUGUGUGCUGCAUAAUGAUGGGGAACCACCAUUCUGCUGGGUGUUCGUGCCUGAGUACAAAGAGAGAUACCUUCAUAUGCAACAGGGGAACAAACAUUUCUUUUGUUUAAGAUCUAUACAAGUUUUGAUGGACAUGUUGGGCAUUUGCCAGGGCUGGCUUUUUUCUUCUCCUUUUAAACUACAUCUGUUCAUUUUAUUUCUGGUAGUAUUAUGACAAAGCCACCUCUGUAAGAAAGGUAGCUUGUGCUUUCAGAGAUCUAAUCAUUCUUGAGCUUUUAAAGAAUAAAGAAGCUGUUUCAACAUCUGAAUUACAGCAUGUUUUGUGUUGCUGCUUGCCAUUGAAAUGGAGCUACCAUUGAAAUGCUGUGAUCCCAUCAGCAUGUACAACUCGUUAUUGUUUACAGUACUUUCAGGCUUAAAAAAUCAUUAAAUCAAGAAGGUUGGCAAUUCUAAUCAACAUUCUAAAGCUGUCAGAUUGCUGGACAUAUCUGACAUUCACUGGACUUGCAUCAAAAGGACAUGAAUAUAGAGUUAAGUAAUCUGAAAGGAUAUUUAUGCAUUAAAAUACCUAUCUGCCUGGACAUCUAUCAUUAAACAGCUUCGAAGUGGUGGUAGCUGGAGACCCGUGAGCCUUUUGAGCAAACGCAGCACACAGAGGGAACGUUCUCAUUAUAAGUGAUGGAACAUAAAAUGUUACAGCCUGAAAAGCGAUGACAAAGAUCAAAUGGAAUGAGUUUAGCUUACAAAUUGGAGCAUUUUCUCCUAACUGGCACGAUGCAAACAACCUAUGGCACAAAAGAAAGAUAGUUUUGCCCUUGACACUGCUGCUGUUGCUGCCGUAUCUGCAGUGAAGGAUCCUCAGCUUGAUUUAUUUUUGUCAGGACAGCUGGGAGUGCCCCAGCUGCUCCACUAAGCCGCGGUUUUCAGCCGAGUGGGCCAGAACGUGCAGAAUUAGCGAGUGCUGCGCUGUCCCUUGCCUUUCUGCGGGGCUGCACAGCAGCAGCUCCCAGUUGCUAAGCAGCUGCAGAGCCAUCCUUGCCUUCGCUACCAAUCAGCUGUGCAAGGGGAGCAGCAUGGUUUCCCCUUGAUCGGCAGAGAGGAGCUGGCAGCGUGAAAGCACAAGCAGUGGCCAUAGCAGAAUUGUUUCUUUGCUGGCAGGCUGCUGACCCCCUGGCAAAAACAUCAGUGUGAAGCGAAGGGACACUCGACGGACCAGGAGCCAAGGAAAGGAGGGAGAGCCAGCAUAUGUGCACAGCAGAGGUUACAAAGGCAGCAGAUCAUAGCAGAGCAGGGGGCACAUGCUGAGGAGAAAGAAAUGGGAGAGAGGCCAAAGGCAUAGCUCAGAAUAGAAAACCCCAGGAGGAGAGUGCAGCAUAUGGAGGGGAGAAAUAAAGCAGAACUGGCACAGCCUGUGAAUAAUUGAAUAGAAAACACAGGAGGAGAGGAAAGGAGCUUGAUUCAUUACUGCCCUUCACUGUAUGGAGACAGCUACACCCGGGAAAAGGAGGAAAGCAGCCAUUGCAAGUCCUGAGCUGAAGUUGGUUUCCACACCAUCCACAACACCACUGCUGCUGUUCUCCCCCUCUCCUCCAGGAGCAGCUGAUGCAGAGCAGUACUUGCUCCAUCCCUGGCACACUGGCUUGUCUUUCCCCUGCAGAUCAGUCAGCUGUUUGGGAAGAUGCUGCUCUCAGCAUCUAAAGAGUGGUUCCUGUGGCAUGAAAUUAUCACAAACUCCUUCUGUAUUGCAUAAGAGGUGUAAAAAGCUGUCACAAACAUCUUCAGGGUUAUUGUGACCAAAAGAGACUGCAGUCCCACCACCGUUCAGAUGCCCACAUGAAAAAAUACCUGAUGGUCUCAGCACCUAAUGUGCAAUUGGCUGCCAGGUGCCAGAAGAGUUGGGAGGGUGGAAAGGACUUCUGCGUUCCUCUUUCUGGAUCCUCCAGGCAGACUCACGGGGCACAUUUCUAUAGGAGUGUAGGGGAGAGGAACCAAAGCCUGUACAGCUGUUGCCUUACCUGUCCAGGCCCAGUGAGCCUGGAGGCUUGGGACUGAGCAUGCUUUUCCCCAAGUCCAAAAUCGAGCCCUGAAAGGAAACUGAGGUCACCACACAGUCCUACAGUGGGAAGGGUUUGCUACAGGCUAUUUGUGUGCAUGUCUAUGACAAGCCAAUAAAAAACUUGAC
ensembl:lncRNA